CUACAGAGAAAUGCACUAUAUUUCCAAUGCACCAAGGCUGUAGGAAAUCAUCGAUCUAACAAACUUGUUCCUAUUUUCAUUAAAUAAUAAUAAAAGUGUUUAUGACUGGAGAGGCAUAAGAAAAUAACUGGUCGUCAGCUGGGAAAAACGCCGCGGUGUGUGCCAAAAUGACCGAGGGAGAAAGUGCAGAGAUGUUGCAGAUACCAGAACACGAGUAAACGACACAAAAUACGUUUCUAUUUCAACAUAUUUUUUCUAGACGCAUCUUAUUAAUCGUUUGUAAAUAAAUCGUAUGACGACCAAACAUGAAAAUUCUAUAAUUAAAAACACAUGAUUGUGAAAUCAAAUUUAAUCGAUGAGAAGUAAAUAUAUAUAGCCUUUUCACACA